UACGUAGGGGGCAAGCGUUGUCCGGAAUCAUUGGGCGUAAAGAGCGUGUAGGCGGCUUGGUAAGUCCGCUGUGAAAGUCCAGGGCUCAACCCUGGAAAGCCGGUGGAAACUGUCAAGCUUGAGUCCGGAAGAGGCGAGUGGAAUUCCUGGUGUAGCGGUGAAAUGCGCAGAUAUCAGGAGGAACACCAAUGGCGAAGGCGGGUCUCUGGGCCGAUACUGACGCUGAGGAGCGAAAGCAUGGGUAGCGAACAGG
rnacentral:rRNA from 1 species